ACAACAUUCUCUCUUUCGAUUCACAUCUCCCCUCAGCGAGUGUCAUCGACCUUUCCGGAUCUCAUCGGAGCAUUCAGCAAUCUAUCUCAGUAUUAAUUCAUCCGGAGACAAAGAUCAUGGCUGUUGUGGAUGUUCACCGGUUCGCAGAGUCAAUCACCUGUCAUGCUUGGAGUCCUGAUCAUUCCAUGGUUGCGUUUUGCCCCAACAAUAAUGAAGUUCAUAUCUAUAAAUCAUCACAAGACCAGUGGGAGAGGUUACAUGUCCUCGAAAAGCAUGAUCAAAUUGUUUCUGGAAUAGAUUGGAGUUCGAAGUCCAACAAAA